UACCAGACGAAACAAAGAUACUCUGAUCGUCUUUAGUUCAUAUUAUGGAUUACAUAUUGGACUCAUAGAAAGAGAAAAACAAAACUGCAGAGCAGCAAGAGGUCACCUUUUAAAGGAAACAGUCUGGAGACCCGUAAAAAGCAUGAUGCAAGUUAUUACUAUCUGACAGGAAAACCACAAGUGUAAAUAAUACAAUUAAUUAUGGCUGAUUUCCAUUUAGCUGCUUUAGUUUCUGGGUCCUGGUAUCGAUCACGCUGGCUCACUGUCACACCCAGCUGACUUUACUGGGUCACUUGAAUACGGAGCCAAUGUUAAUGAUUUUAACACUUUUCUAAGUCAAAACACCUGUUUAUAAGUCCUGAAUAAUGGUUAGCAUUAAUGUAAAGAAUAUGAGAUUUGUAGUAAACAAACUAAAACAUUCACUUGCAGAGGAUUUUCGAUUAAAGCACAGACAUCAAAUAAUAUUAUCAAAGUUAUAUCUGAUAUUGUUCUUGCAAUAUACAUACAAAAUCUUUCCGCUACUGCACCAAAUACGACUGAAAACAGGAGGAUUAAACGGUGAGUCUUGUCUUCCAGGAGGCAUGUUUUGUGCCAGCUGACUAUCUGAAUGCACUUGGUCCUGUCCACGUAGAGGUGUGUGCUGGUAAGAAACUCAACAUCCCUCUGGAGCACGUCCCUGCAUACAAAGCCUGUCAUUGGAUCAGAGGAGCAGAGCCAGUACUCACAGUAAACGGGAGUAGCUCCAUGGUCCUACCACCGCUCUCUGAGACAGAUUCAGGGGAGUACACACUGAGCUGUGAAACUAGCAGUGAGACCAGGUCCUCGGUGAGUGUGUCUCUUCAUGUAGCAAUGGAACGUCCCACAAAACCAAAGCUGGCGCUGGAUCGUGUGAAGGAACAAAAAAAGUCUCCUUAUUUCACAUGCAUCUCUGAGGGCUGCCCAAAGCCCAAGCUUGAAUUGUCUGGAAACAAAAAAUGGACAAAUGUUGCUACAGACAGUGACAAGGUACAGAUUACAAUAUCCAGUGUUAAUUAUCAUAAUACUGGAAUGAUGUGCUGUGCUACAAAUGCUGAAGGACAAGAAUGCUCCCAACUGUAUGACUACGACCUAAAGACAGACUCACAUGAGUUUCCUAAUGUAACCGUGAGUCCUGGUGAGUCUUUACUGCUUCGCUGCCGCAUACAAGACUACUGGCGACCGUCACCUGUGUGGGAGAAGGGCAGCGAAAGAAUGGAUGCAGAAACAUUAGCAUGCCCCUCUAAAGUGAAGGAGGAGAUCUGCAUCAAAAAUGACUCGCAUUCUGGGACUAAGAUGGCCUAUCUGUUCAUCGAAUCAGUUAGUGUGGACCACAGUGGCACAUACACCUGCAGGUCUAAAGACUACACACCUGUCAAGUCUGUCUACAUUCACGUCCAAACUGAGGAUUUCAUCUCUGUCCAGCUGGAUGAGAGCAAGAUCAUACCAGCUCAGAAUGCAACGAUUUUGGAAGCCAGUGUUUCCUACCACCCGGUGCUCCAGCACUGCUCAUGGGAAUCUCCUAAUAAUAUAAAGACCAAAUGCAUCAGGGACGACUGGGUGACAAAACACAGGUAG
rnacentral:lncRNA from 15 species